AGAAAGCAACCACAUACCAAGGAUAAUUAUAAGAAGGUAACAUGGGCCCAAAAGAAUAGUGUCAAGGAAACUGAAACCCCCAAAUGAGGCCAUUUCAGCCCAAUGUCAAGAAACUUCAUUAAUGGAACUGG